GCUACGGGAGGCAGCAGUGAGGAAUAUUGGUCAAUGGGCGCGAGCCUGAACCAGCCAAGUAGCGUGAAGGAUGACUGCCCUACGGGUUGUACACUUCUUUUAUAAAGGAAUAAAGUGAGGCACGUGUGCCUUUUUGUAUGUACUUUAUGAAUAAGGAUCGGCUAACUCCGUUCCAGCAGCCGCGGUAAUACGGAGGAUCCGAGCGUUAUCCGGAUUUAUUGAGGUUAAAGGGAGCGUAGAUGGGUGUUUAAGUCAGUUGUGAAAGUUUGCGGCUCAACCGGAAAAUUGCAAUUGAUACUGGCAGUCUUGAGUACAGUUGAGGUAGGCGGAAUUCGUGGUGUAGCGGUGAAAUGCUUAGAUAUCACGAAGAACUCCGAUUGCGAAGGCAGCUUACUAAACUGCCACUGACAUUGAUGCUCGAAAGUGUGGGUAUCAAACAGGAUUAGAUACCCCAGUAGUC
rnacentral:rRNA from 1 species